rnacentral:misc_RNA from 1 species
ACUAACGGCCUUUACGCGACAUCCGAGCAGCGUGUCUAUCCCAAAGGCCUAGGAGCAUUUGCCCGGCUCGGUCAAAUCUAGCGCAAGUUUGAAGCCUGCGGCCUCGCAAUUUUAGCAGCUUCGUUCCAGGCCAGGACGCCCACCACCUCCAUGCCGAGAGGAGGGGGCCACAGCCCUGGCAUGCAGCCCUGCCCAGUAGCCCGGCACCUGCCCCUGCCACGCAGGAAGCCCCCCGGCCUGCCAGCAGCCUCAGGCCUCCCCGCUGUGGCGUGCCCGACCCAUCUGAUGGGCUGAGUGCCCGCAACCGACAGAAGAGGUUCGUGCUUUCUGGCGGGCGCUGGGAGAAGACGGACCUCACCUACAGGAUCCUUCGGUUCCCAUGGCAGUUGGUGCAGGAGCAGGUGCGGCAGACGAUGGCAGAGGCCCUAAAGGUAUGGAGCGAUGUGACGCCACUCACCUUUACUGAGGUGCACGAGGGCCGUGCUGACAUCAUGAUCGACUUCGCCAGGUACUGGCAUGGGGACGACCUGCCGUUUGAUGGGCCUGGGGGCAUCCUGGCCCAUGCCUUCUUCCCCAAGACUCACCGAGAAGGG